AAAGCAGACAAAGAAAUGUUAUGAUUGGACUUAUUCAUGAGAUACCACAGACUCUAAUAUAUGAAGUUUUUCAUAUUUACACUACUGGUGAAUCUCUAGUUGUAUACCUGCCUCUGUGGUCUCAUUGUUGGUCCCUAGGAUAGCUUAUAAAUAAAAACAGAUGAUACUGUCUACUGGCCAGAACAAGCUCACAACUCACUUUCUACUCCAUUCUCAAGGACUAUGUAGAGAAAGAUGGAUGGUUGAGGUCAGGAUUUGGAGUUCUCCGGCUAACUGCAUAUUAACUUUGUUAUCAUCGCCAAUAUUAUCACCUGACACAGAAACAGACUUGAUGGAUUUGGGCUUUAGCCCUGACUUCAUCACAAAUAAACAGUGUCAUCUUGGAUGCU
rnacentral:lncRNA from 1 species